GAGAGCAUGUUUUGCAGCUGAGCUGCAGGCAGGGAAAAUACCAAGAGGCACUGCACGGCUCCAUCUGGUUUGGUAAUUUCUUCGGCCAUGGCUGCCAAACAACAAAGACAUCCUCGCUGAUGUGUUGACUCCAGCAGGUCUAGUGAAGCAUGAACCCUGCCAGCUUUCACAGCUACAGAAAGAGAUGAGAACCACUGUUUAAUGUCAUCCAGUCACAUAAAACAUAAAUACGUCCUAACGGAGGCAUGCAAAGUACUCGCCUUACUUCCUCUGCUACGCCAGCUCAGAAUGUUUUGUGCUGCUGCAGUAAAAAUGGUCAAACUACUGAAUGCCAGAUCUGGGGCGUACCUCUCCUAUCUCAUACUGUCUGUCUUUUCCCUUGGAUUUCCAUCUGUUCUCUGCAGGGAGCAAGAAAGCCUCGCUCUAAACCCAGGAGUAACAACUCAAGCUUUCUGGAAGCAAAGCUAAAUUGCCAGCCUCCAGAACAAGCCAAAAAAAGUGAUGGUGAGUUAUCUACAAACCUCGUAAGCACGAUAGAAUCCAACGGCUCCCCAGAUAUCCACGGGAGAGCGUGAGGCUGGAUUCAAACCACUCCUGGGACAAGCACUGACCAGAUUGUGGUGCCUGAAGUGUUUUCCAGACACCCCUAGCAAUACAAAAACAUCCCAGGGAUCUUAAAAGCCACGGAUUCAAACCUGGAAAGACUCCAGCACUGGAUUUGGUGGGGAGAGAUUUGGAGCCUUACUGCCGAUGAUAACUGUGAAAAGAAGAAAAUACAUUUCAGAUCUGUACCUGUUUGACUACAAAGGCAUGGCAGCGCCAGCAGCCUGCAGAUCUCAUUGCCACAGCAGAGCAAUGUGUUCAGAGGCCGGGUCAGACUGAUGUGGAGUAUUUGGAGCCAUGGGGUAUUCUCUGCAAUUACUCUUUGCUGCUGAAAAUUAGCACGCUUCUCACUUUAACGGGGAGCUGUUGCCAUCAGC